GGGUUGUGAGGUUAAGCGACUAAGCGUACACGGUGGAUGCCUAGGCAGUCAGAGGCGAUGAAGGGCGUGCUAAUCUGCGAUAAGCGACGGCAAGGUGAUAUGAACCGCAACACCCGUCGAUACCCGAAUGGGGAAACCCAGUGCAAUCCGUUGCACUAUCAUUCACUGAAUUCAUAGGUGAAUGAGGCGAACCGGGGGAACUGAAACAUCUCAGUACCCCGAGGAAAAGAAAUCAACCGAGA
rnacentral:rRNA from 1 species